rnacentral:rRNA from 1 species
UGACGUGUAGGGUGAAAGCUUACAUCUCUUCGGAGCAUUUUACGAGGUGCUGCAUGGUUGUCGUCAGCUCGUGCCGUGAGGUGUCGGGUUAAGUCCCAUAACGAGCGCAACCCCUUACCUUUAGUUGCCAUCAGGUAAUGCUGGGGACUCUAAAGGAACUGCCUACGCAAGUAGUGAGGAAGGCGGGGAUGACGUCAAAUCAGCACGGCCCUUACGUCCAGGGCUACACACGUGCUACAAUGGCCGAUACAGAGGGCAGCUACCUGGUGACAGGAUGCAAAUCUCCAAAGUCGGUCUCAGUUCGGAUCGGAGUCUGCAACCCGACUCCGUGAAGUUGGAUUCGCUAGUAAUCGCGCAUCAGCCAUGGCGCGGUGAAUACGUUCCCGGGCCUU